UACGGGGGGGGCAAGCGUUGUUCGGAAUUACUGGGCGUAAAGGGCUCGUAGGCGGCCAACUAAGUCAGACGUGAAAUCCCUCGGCUUAACCGGGGAACUGCAUCUGAUACUGGAUGGCUUGAGAUUGGGAGAGGGAUGCGGAAUUCCAGGUGUAGCGGUGAAAUGCGUAGAUAUCUGGAGGAACACCGGUGGCGAAGGCGGCGACCUGGUCCUUGACUGACGCUGAGGCGCGAAAGCGUGGGGAGCAAACAGG
rnacentral:rRNA from 1 species